GAUGAACGCUAGCGGCGUGCCUAACACAUGCAAGUCGAGCGGCAGCGAGGGGUGCUUGCACCCUGUCGGCGAGCGGCGGACGGCUGAGUAACGCGUGGGAACGUGCCCCAAAGUGAGGAAUAACUGCCCGAAAGGGUAGCUAAUACCGCAUAUUAUCUUCGGAUCAAAGGAUUUAUCCGCUUUGGGAGCGGCUCGCGUCGGAUUAGGUAGUUGGUGAGGUAAUGGCUCACCAAGCCGACGAUCCGUAGCUGGUCUGAGAGGAUGACCAGCCAGACUGGAACUGAGACACGGUCCAGACUCCUACGGGAGGCAGCAGUGAGGAAUCUUCCACAAUGGGCGAAAGCCUGAUGGAGCAACGCCGCGUGCAGGACGAAGGCCUUCGGGUUGUAAACUGCUUUUAUAAGUGAGGAAUAUGACGGUAACUUAUGAAUAAGGAUCGGCUAACUACGUG
rnacentral:rRNA from 1 species